GGGGAUUUAGCUCAGUGGUAGAGCACUUGCUUAGCAAGCACAAGGCCCUGGAUUCAGUCCUCA
rnacentral:tRNA from 1 species